UACGUAGGGUGCAAGCGUUAAUCGGAAUUACUGGGCGUAAAGCGUGCGCAGGCGGUUUUGUAAGUCAGAUGUGAAAUCCCCGGGCUUAACCUGGGAACUGCGUUUGAAACUACAAGGCUAGAGUGUGACAGAGGGGGGUGGAAUUCCACGGUGUAGCAGUGAAAUGCGUAGAGAUGUGGAGGAACACCGAUGGCGAAGGCAGCCCCCUGGGUUAACACUGACGCUCAGGCACGAAAGCGUGGGGAGCAAACAGGG
rnacentral:rRNA from 1 species